GACGAACGCUGGCGGCGUGCUUAACACAUGCAAGUCGAACGGUAAGGCCCUUCGGGGUACACGAGUGGCGAACGGGUGAGUAACACGUGGGUGAUCUGCCCUGCACUUCGGGAUAAGCCUGGGAAACUGGGGCUAAUACCGGAUAGGACCCUGGGAUGCAUGGCCUGGGGUGGAAAGCUUUUGCGGUGUGGGAUGGGCCCGCGGCCUAUCAGCUUGUUGGUGGGGUGAUGGCCUACCAAGGCGACGACGGGUAGCCGGCCUGAGAGGGUGACCGGCCACACUGGGACUGAGAUACGGCCCAGACUCCUACGGGAGGCAGCAGUGGGGAAUAUUGCACAAUGGGCGCAAGCCUGAUGCAGCGACGCCGCGUGAGGGAUGACGGCCUUCGGGUCGUAAACCUCUUUCAGCACCGACGAAGCGCAAGUGACGGUAGGUGCAGAAGAAGGACCGGCCAACUACGUGCCAGCCGCCGCCGUAA
rnacentral:rRNA from 1 species